CAGCAAUUGUCCACAUGGUGUAACGGAAAGAAUGCAGGAUUUAAGAGGAGUAGAACAUUGAAGUAAAACAACAACCGGCCAAUAAGAAGGACUUCUGAAGCCCAAAGAUGUUUGACAUACCAGUGAUCCUUUGAGAGUGGACUCUAGCCAAAUUUGGAGAUGCCUGUGGAGCCAGCUUUGAUCAGCUCAAGGGCAACCUUGAGCAGAAGCUACAGACUCAAGAUUUUGAUUGGGACUUUCUAAACAUCCUGCUGCCUGGCUUAUUGUGUCUACAGACGUCUUCUUCUUUAACCCCGGCUCCCAAUCUGAAAGCCUCUGGAAACUUACCCUUUUUCCACUCCCCGUUGAGCAACUAAGAAUUCCUCUCUUUCUGCCCCCUUGCAAGCUUCUUCUCUUGCCAAGUUCUUCUUCUCAAACAAUAAACAUUUUGUUAUCUGUGA